GGAAGACUUAGAGCAAGUGCAGGUGAGAGCGAAGUCGAGAAAAAAAUAUACAGAAAAUAAAUAAAAAAAAAAGAAUAAAGAAUAAAAUAUAAAGAAAAUAUUUUUUCUACAAGAAAAAUAAAGAAUUAGAGAGAAAAGAAGAAGAUGGUGAAUUUGCACUAUUUCAAAAGAAUGCUGUACUAUUUUAGAAGAACGUUGCUUUAUUUUUUAGAAAAUUUAUCCAGAGAUAAAAUAUAUAUUUUUGGAUGAAAAUUGUACUAUUUGAAUGAAAGUUGUAUUCUUUGAAUGAAAAUUGUAGUAUUUGGCCGAAAAUUGCACUAUUUGGCCAGAAAGAGGAUGAGAAUGAAAAAAAAUAGUAUAUUUUUUGUUCAAAUAGUACAAUUUUCGUUCAAAAAGUACAACUUUCGUUCAAAGAGUGCAACUUACAUCUAAAAGAAUAUAUUUUUUCUCUCAAAAAGUGUAAAUUUUUUCUCAAACAGCGCAUUGUUCUCCUAAAAUCGUGUAACAUUCUCCGGAAACAAUGCAACAUUUUCCUAAAACAGCCAAAAUUCAUCAAUUUCUUCUUUUCUCUCUGGCUUUUCAUUUUUCUUGUUAAAAAAAAAAAAAAACUAAUUUUCUUCAUAUUUUAUUCUUUAUUCUUUUUAUUUUUUUAUUUUCUGCAUAUCUUUUCUCGGCUCCGCUCUCACUCGCACUUGUUCCAAGUCCUCUUUCUCCUGCUCUAGCGUCGGUGCCUGCAUCGGCGAAGGUGGAAGAAAAGAAUACGGUGCUGUUUUCGUUACCGUCAUGGAGGGUUACGAAGGCGGUAGAGAGGGGUUGAAGAAAAAAAAACGAGAGAAAAAAAGAAGAGGAAAAGGACGUAAUGCUGUCCUCUUUACUGUUGUAAAGAGCCGGGGAGGUGGUGGAGAAGGGUCGGAGAGAAAAAAAAGAAGAAGAAGAAGGGUCGAGGUGCAGUCUCGGCGAGGUCAAAGGUGAGGAAGGUGAAAAGAGGGUGCUAGGGCGAUGGUGAGGGCGAGGGCGCGCAGGACAAAGGCGAGGUGGACAACCUCCGCCUCUGCCUCCGCUUCCACCGCCCCUCUUCGAAGAGAAAAAAAAAAGAAUGAUAGAAAAAAAGAGGAGAGAGAAAAAAAUAAUAAGAGUAUUUUGGUUAGUUUUUUGAAAAUUUGGCGUGAAUAUGCAAAAUCCAAAAAAAGGCCUAUUUUU
rnacentral:lncRNA from 1 species